rnacentral:rRNA from 1 species
UACGGAGGAUGCGAGCGUUAUCCGGAUUUAUUGGGCGUAAAGCGAGCGCAGGCGGAAAGAUAAGUCUGAUGUGAAAGCCCCCGGCUUAACCGAGGAAUUGCAUCGGAAACUGUGUUUCUUGAGUGCAGAAGAGGAGAGUGGAACUCCAUGUGUAGCGGUGGAAUGCGUAGAUAUAUGGAAGAACACCAGUGGCGAAGGCGGCUUACUGGACAGUAACUGACGUUGAGGCUCGAAAGCGUGGGGAGCAAACAGG